UACGUAGGUGGCAAGCGUUGUCCGGAAUUAUUGGGCGUAAAGCGCGCGCAGGCGGUCCUUUAAGUCUGAUGUGAAAGCCCACGGCUCAACCGUGGAGGGUCAUUGGAAACUGGGGGACUUGAGUGCAGGAGAGAAGAGUGGAAUUCCACGUGUAGCGGUGAAAUGCGUAGAGAUGUGGAGGAACACCAGUGGCGAAGGCGGCUCGUCUAGUACGGUACUGACGCUGAGACGCGAAAGCGUGGGGAGCGAACAGG
rnacentral:rRNA from 1 species